AGUAGGACAGAGCAGCUGUGUUCUGGGAUGUUUCUAGGUUUGGAAGAGCAAAUUCUGGGCAGAAGAGUUCUUGACAAUAUACUAUGCAAUAUACUAUGAGUAGUUGGUCCAAGUGGCCUCUCUCAUGUUCUCUCUUGCCAUAAGCAGAGCAUUCAGUCAACAGGGAGGACAUUGAAGAAAAACAAAAAUGAUGCCAAAAACAAAAAGAGAUUGGGGAUUAAAUCCUGCUGUCUUGUCUACCUGAUGCAGAAUUAUACUCUGUCCUCCUGCUCAUCAGCUGACAGCACCAGCUGUGGUUUGGGGGAAGUGGCCUCACAGGGUCGCAUUGGACCUCCUGGCAGCCUGAGAUUGGCCUGUGGCUGCAGGUUCCCCAUCCUUCUUUUAGGUGGAAGGAAGUUGAGAGUGUGUUUCUUCAGCUCUUUUCAGCCUUUCCUGAUCAAUCUGUGUUCGCUUUUUUGUAGACCACUUUUUCUUUUUCUUUUUGCUUUGUCACAGCAGAAUUUUUUAAGGAUGAAAAGCUUGCAAUCUUUAUUUGUGGGAGAGAAGGGGGACACCAAAACUCUGUCUUCUUCCAUCUCUAGCAACCAUUGAAGAUAGGGUGGAGCCAGUGGAGAGCAGAAGGCAGGAGACAACCUGUCUAGGGAGAAGGGUCACGAGGGUUUAGUGAAACAAGAGGCUAUAGAAGGUGUGAGUGGAUCCCUCAUGCAGUUAUUCACUCGGUUACAUGCCUUCCUGUCAACCGUGCAGCUCUGCAGACUCCAAGAGGACAGCAUAAAAAUUGCUUUGCUAAACAGUUGAUAAACAGGACUAAUUGAUGCCAGCUUACACAGAGCUAAGCUAAAACACAGGACUUGUCUGUAACGUCGCAAAAAUGGCAUGGUUUUUUCACUUGCAAUCAUUUUGUUUGAAUGAACUAUACAAAGUUCUGACUGAGUGGCUCAGCAAGAUGCUUAGCAAACAUAUUCUUGCCAACUGCUGUGAGGUGUAACCUAUCUCUUGCCAGAAGUCCUUACUCAAGAAAGCGGAGAAGAAGUCAAACCUUUCCUGACAACAUCCCCUGUGCAGCCAGUGGUUUACUUCCAGUAUUUUCCUCCUUCCUGGGCCACGACUUUCAUCAGGAAAGAGUGUUGAAAAAAACCUCUGUGCCCCAUGGUCCUUGAGCUUCCAGUCCAGAGUCUCAUAGUUCCUUGCUAUACAUCAAGGGCUGUGUCUGGCAGUAUCAUUUGAAUGCACGUGGAUCAGAAGGGAGGGGUUGUGACCAGUGGGCUUUAUAAGCCUUGGCAACUUCUCUGUCCUUGAAUUGUUGCACCCAGGACAUCCUGUUACCUCUGCACACUGCUGCCUCUGUCCCCCUCAGUAAGGAGUCCCCUUCCACCAACCCAAGUCCCUUCCUCCUCUGGGGAGUGGCAGGAAUCAUUCCAUACACAGUGCCUUCCAAAACCACCUCAGAGUGUUCUAAGCUCUGCAACUUAUAUUUCUUGAUCCUCUGGCCCAGUAUCUGUGUCUGAGGUGAGCGCAAGGAAUUAAUUUUGCAGCUCCAGUGACACAGCAUGGCUUCUGACAGUACUGCUUCUGUGAGCCAAGUUCCUCCAGGAGUUUGUCUCCUGCAACGGGCAAUCUUCCUCCUCUGAAGUUGUUCUUCCAGGACAGUCCACUCAGCUCUAUCAAGAAAGUCAUCAUCUUGCCCAGUAAUUUGAAGGGUGACUUGGCUGGCCUCAAGUUGCUAUACCUUCUCUUCCAGCGAGGCAACCAGCUUGCACUUGCUGCAGGUGUAGUUUUGCACAUUCUGAGGCAGAAAGACAAAUAUGGCACAGGCGUUGCAGGUCACUUCAGUAGCCCCCUCAUCAUCCAUGUCUCUUAGUCCUACAGACACCGUGAGACGGCACUCUUGGCCUUCUCUUCCAAAUGUCCUCACCAACACUCUUGUUUAUUUGCAAGCUCUCAGAAGCUGCUAUCAGCCAAGUCUACCUGCUGCUAGCUGAUAACCCCUCUGCCCACUCCCUCCCUUGUUCAGCCUGGCUUCCUCUUGGCAGUAGCAUGCAGCCACACCCACAGCCAAGCCGCCAAGCAGCUCAGACAAGCAACCAGCCUUAAUCCCAAAGAGAUAAGCUCACUCUUUUUAGUCUCCUCCACCAAUUUCUCCCACUGUUGUUUUGUCAAAUCUAUUGUGCAUGUGCUGCUGCUGCUGCUGGGGGUUCCCAAAAGGAAGAAAGAUGCAAUAGAAAUGUUUGAAUAAAUAAACAAAAUACAGUGGUACCUCGGGUUACAUACGCUUCAGAAUUAAGUUCUUAACCCGAGGUACCACUGUACUUAUUCUAGCAUGCUGUAAAAUUCAUCUAUUUCUUGGUACUGGAGGAAUUGAAAUUCACCCUUGAGAUUCAACAAGGGUUGUAGGUGGUGCUUUUCUUCCAGAAAAAGAAAAGGUGUCAAUACUCACUACGAAGUUGUAAUAGUCAGUGCCACACUUUUAACCAAUGCUUUUCAUUGGCGGUGUGGGUGUGUCGGUACUGCGUACCCCUGAGUACCCCCAGAAAAGAAUUUGCUCAACAUGGAAUAAUCUAAGGUCUGGUCCCAAUCAGUUUUAUUUGGAAGCAUUUAUUUUCAUUUCAAGUGUGUAGGUUUAAGACCGCAGCCCUUAGGUGUCUUCUGAUAUGUAUUUUGUACCAUAUGCUGAGGUAUACAUUAAUAUCACAGAAAUAAAUCCUUCAUCAUUCUCU